UGUGCUUCCCGAGUACAGAUCACGGCUCAGCAUCUCAUGGGAAAGGGACAGGGCUCUCUUCAGGACACGCAGUAAGAUUUCAAGUGCGGGCACUUUUAAUACUCCGCGAUCCAAAGGCAGCUCCAGGGCCAGCCGCGGUUUCCGGCCUCAAGGGCAGGCUCGGUUCUGGAGCUCCCUCCAGUGGCCGUCGGGGUGCCGUCACUUUCAGGGCCCCACCAGGAGAGCAGGGGCCCCGCCGAGGACCAGAGCGCCUGGACCAGAGGGAGCCCUGCGCGGCCGGCACGGAUGCCUCUCAAUAGGCGGCAUGGGGCCGACACGACUCGCCCAUAUUUGGUUCUCAUGAAAACAGAAGCUCCGUGGAGAAAGCGAAGAAAGUCCUUGAAAGUCGCCUGUUCAAAGCCGCCACUGCCGUGAUGCCCCCUGACUCCGCACCCCGCCGCCGUGACGCCCCCCACGACCCCGCACCCUGCUGCAGUGACGCCCCCGACCCCUCACCCCGCUGCCGUCACACACCCCGACCCCGCUG
rnacentral:lncRNA from 1 species